rnacentral:tRNA from 1 species
GGGGGUAUAGCUCAGUGGUAGAGUGCAUGCCUAGCAUACAUGAGGUCCUGGGUUCAAUCCCUAGUACCUCCA